UGUGAGGGGUGAUGGAAUUCCUUCCACCCAGUCAAGAGGCUCACCAAUCCAGAACGACCCUCAGAGACUCAGAUAAGAGAGUGAAUUAAUUGCCCAUUGUAAAUAUCAGUCUCCUUUGGCCAAGCUACCAGCUGUUAUUCUGUGAUCCAGGGUCACCGUGGGAGAAAGCCAAAGGAGAAAGUCACAGCCUUGUUCUGAGCCCUGGCUCUCCCCAUCCUCUGGUCACCUAGCUUCAUUUCCGUUUCCCAAAUAAGACACACUUCAUGAGGUGCUGCUCUGAUUUCCCCCUCUCAAGAGGAGACAACUUUAAAGCAGACUUGAAGAAUUUAACCUGGGUGAGGCCCACAGAGUGGAAAUAUUUGAUGAGCCAGUAAUACUUCGAGUGAAGCCUGAGCACCACGCAUUUGCAAUGGGAAGUGGUUUUUUAGAUCACCUCAGAAGAGCUGCCUCAUUCAAAUCUUCUGUCUUAAUAAGUUGACCCUGUUGAAAAAAAAAGGAAGAAAAGAAAGAAGAAGGAAG